rnacentral:rRNA from 1 species
AUGCGGGCGCCGUUCUGCCUCCUCCUCGUCGUCGGUGUGCUCCUGCUGCUUCGGUGGCCGGCGUCGAGCCUCGCUUCGGUGCAAGUGGCCAGGACCAUCACCGUGGACCAGCGCGGUGGAGGGGACUACACGACGGUGCAGUCGGCGGUGGACGCUGUGCCGGACGGCAACAGCCAGUGGAUCAAGAUCUACGUCAAGCAAGGGAGCUACAGAGAGAAGGUGAUAAUCCCAAGCGAGAAAGGCUUCAUCUUGCUCGAAGGUGACGGCUCCUCGUCAACGGACAUCAACUUCGACUCGCACGUCGACGACGCCGACGCGCCCGGCAUCGCCCCUAUCACGGGCCGCCUGCGCGGCAACCUCGCGGAAAUCUCGCCAACGUACAACAGCUCCACCUUCACAGUCCAUUCCGACAACUUCGUCGCCCGCAACAUCGCCUUCAAGAACACGUACAUCGGCAAGCCGGCGGUUGCGUUCCUCAUGGACGGCGACAAGGGCGCGUUCUACGACUGCGCCUUCCACGGGUACCAGGACACGCUCUCCGACCUCGCCGGCCGUCACUACUUCCGCCGCUGCCUCGUCGAGGGCGCCGUGGACUUCAUCUUCGGCUACGGGAAGUCCAUCUACGAGGACUGCACCCUCCAGUCCAACAUGGCGGCGGCGUCCCAGCAGCCCGGGUGGGUGACGGCGCACGGCCGGGCCGCCGACAAGAGCGCCGCGUUCGUGUUCAAGGGCGGUUCGAUCACGGGCUCCGGGCAGCAGUACCUCGGCCGCGCGUGGAACGAGCAGGCCACCGUCGUGUUCUACCAGGUGAACAUGGCCGGCAUCGUCGUCCCGCAGGGGUGGGACAAGUGGACCCCCAGCCAAGAUGUGUCAAAAGUGACGUUUGCGGAGGUCGGAUGCAGCGGCCCGGGUUCCGCCACCGGAGGAAGAGUGCCAUGGGAGAAGCACAUGGACAACGCAGAGGUUCAGAGAUUCGUGGACAUCGGGUUCAUUGACAACGGUUGGAUAUCCAAUCAACCCUAG